GCGCCAACAAAAUAAGAGUCUCCGAAAGCCAGAGCAAACGAGCCAGCAAGCUACGGAGUUUGCCGCCAAUGUAUUUCUUGUAAAGUGUAUAAAAACGAAUAUGGAAGCUGAACAAAUAAGAUGCCAAAAACCAACGACUUUCAUGAUGUAUUAGACAGGAAGGAGGAACUUUUUUUCUCCUCCAUUUGAAAACCGGGACGUUAUCAGCACUACUGUCAGGAACAAACAUCCCCAAGAUGAACACGCCCAGUAAUGGACCACUGAUUACAGUCAUGACAGUAAAAGACCCCUGAGGAGAGAGAGCACAAUCACUGCUUUCAAAUUGUACAAGAGUUAAGGACAGAAAAACUAAAAUUUGUAUCUAGUUGUCUUGUGUGUGUUACUGUCAUCCCUUUCAACUAACGUGUGAUAUUUAUUCCUCCGGGAAUAAAUGCAUUCCUGCGUUAUUGCA